rnacentral:rRNA from 1 species
GUCCUUUUGAAUUUUAUAGAAGGUCUGACCUGCCCAGUGAUAAUUUUAACGGCCGCGGUAUACUGACCGUGCAAAGGUAGCAUAAUCAUUAGUCUUUUAAUAGAGGGCUGGAAUGAAAGGUUUAACGAGGAAUUGACUGUCUCAUUUUAUUUGUUUUAGAAUUUAAUUUUUUAGUCAAAAAGCUAAAAUCUUAUUGGAAGACGAGAAGACCCUAUAGAUCUUUAUAAAAUUUUAUUUAAUUAUUUUUAUAUUAAUUUAUUUAAAUGAUUUUUUAUUUUGUUGGGGUGACAAAAAUAUAUAUAAAACUUUUUUAUUUAUUUAACAUUAAUUUAUGAUUAUUAGAUCCAUUAUUAGUGAUUGAUAGACUAAGUUACCUUAGGGAUAACAGCGUAAUCCUCCUCCAGAGUUCAUAUUUACAGGAUGGGCUUGCGACCUCGAUGUUGGAUUAAGAUGAUAAUUAGGUGUAGCCGCUUAAUUUAUAGGUCUGUUCGACCUUUAAACUCUU